rnacentral:misc_RNA from 1 species
UUUAGUUACGAGACGGUGUGCGCGUUGGUUGUGCGCAUUCGUUGUUCGCUUGAUAUGUACUUAACUACUAGUGAAAUCCCGCGAGUGUAUUUAUCGAUACCUGGAGUAUUAGCUUUUUGCAAUGACACGUGAAGGACUCUAUGGUCGUCCGGAUGAUGAGUUUCAAUCAUCAUCCGGUAAUGUUUCCGAUGACGAAGAUAUUGUACUAAGGAAGAACAAAGUGAAAGAUAUGAUAGUUCGUUUUGAAAAAACAUCACUAACAAACAGUUGCCGUGGUUCUAGUGAAUCCUUAGAAAAAUCUAAAGACACAUUGAGUUUAACGAGUGUUGUUAGUCCGAUACAAGCUCAUUUCCAACAUUUGUAUCCAGUCACAAAAUCUCAAGAUAGAAAUUCAAACGUAUCAGUGAAUUCUUUACUAUCCAACAUAUCGGAAAAUGGGUAUGAUUCGAGUUCUUCUGGUUUCGUUUCUGAUAGAAAGUCCUGUAGAGCAAGUUUGCAACCUCACAGACCUGCUCCACCACCACCUGAACCUUUUAAUGAUAGUUCUUCAUUAGAAAGUAAAUCGCCUGCGCCGGAGGAAACUAGGUUCACAGAAAGGAGGUAUUCCUUUACAACUCCUAACACAUCGCCUCAAGCAAAACGACGCUCGCGACCACCACCUGUUAUACGAAGAAAAUCAUCGGCAAACGGCCAAACACACUUUGGAGGAGAAACCCUUUGGACUUACGGUGUUAGUCAAACCGAAUUGGAAAAGUUAUUGAGACUUAAAAGAUCAGUACCCUCUGACAACGAGGAUGAAGCAAAAAGUGAUAGUAACGAUUCGGAUGCAGGUAGUAGUAGUGACAGUGAUAAGUCGAAUAGGGGUGCAGAAUACGUUGUCAAUAAAGACGACGAUGCAACGGACACUUUAUCAACGGAUCAUUCGACUGAUACGUUGAUAAAUGAAGACGAUGGUGAAGAGCAGGACAAUGUUUCAAUUAAUUCAGGUGAUUCUAGUGAAAAUAGUACAAGUAAUAUGGACAAUGUUGACAAUGUUAGUAUUAAAUCUAUAUCAUCAUUUGAUAUGGUUCCGUAUCAAAAGUACGAUAGCAUAACAAUAUCAUCAGACGAGUACGGUUCGGAGGUGUGUCACGCACCCUCUACAGAAUUCCUUACAGUGAGUGCAGUGAAUGAAUGGUGCAUCUCGCAAUCGGUAGAACCUGUAGUCAUUCCAGUGGAAUCUAAAAAACAAAAGUAUCGAAGACGAUUAACGGAACGUGUCAAUGAGUUGUUACACACCGAGCAUGUAUAUGUGGAACGAUUGAGGCAUGUUGUUGAGAACUAUAUGCCGGAGUUAGGUCUAAGAGGACAUGACACUCGCAUGCCACCGUUAUUGAUGCAGCUCAAGUCAGCUAUUUUCGGCAACAUCGAAGACGUAUUCAAAUUUCAUUCCGAAGAGUUCCUACCAGCAAUGAGAGACUGUGAAAAUGACCUUAGGAAAUUAGGACAAUGUUUCAGGAAGUUUGAGAAAAAAUUUAACAUGUACGUGAUGUACUCUAGAAAUAACAAGAAUGCUAUUAGACUAGUGUAUGAAUACAAGGAGUUCUUUCAGAAAAGACAAUUUGAAAUGAAUGAUAGACUAGACUUGUCGAGUUAUCUGUUAGAACCAAUACAAAGGAUUCCACGAUACAAACUAUUUCUACUGGAUCUAGUGAAAACAUAUACAGCAUAUGAGAACGAGAGAUCUGAUUCAGACUCUCGAAUAUCUAAACUGAGUGUUGAUAGCGACGAGACGGGAGGCAGUAAUGGAGAAUCUUCCGAUAAUGAAGAAACGCCUUUGGAAAGUUUAAAGCAAGCAAAAACCAUGAUUGAAAGGAUCUUGACAGCGAUCGAUGAAAUUAUGGCGUUGGAGAAUAUUAAAGAUUGCCCGGCUGAGCUGAAUCUGUUGCAACAAGGACGCUUGCUGCGACAAAAUGAAUUUUAUGCGAUGGACGUCGUUCGACGGCGAAGACAGCUCGUAAGGAUAUUCCUGUUCGAUAAACUGGUUCUGAUCACCGUAGUGUAUAGGAAGAGUCCAAGAGUGGAGUGCUUCAUGUACAAAGACCACAUACCUGUGGAUGAUCUAGGUAUCACGGCAAAAGUAGAAGAUCACUUCAAAUUCUCUAUAUGGUACAAGAAGAGAAACCUCAAGUCCUACAAGUUGGAAACCAGUGACACAGCCGUCAGAGCAGCGUGGGUGGAAGAAAUCACCACAUUGCUUUGGGAGCAGGCUAUGCAAAAAAAAGAACUGUUGAUGGAGCAGCGCAAGAAACGGAUCUCGACGAUUUCGAUGAAUACGCAACAGUCCGACGACAGUGACGGCAGAAACGAUGAUAAAUAAUUAACACAGAAGAAAUAAAUCCAAAUCCAUUAUAAUAAUAUACAAAGUGUAGAUAACUCACUUCGGGGAGUACCA